UACGAAGGGGGCUAGCGUUGCUCGGAAUCACUGGGCGUAAAGGGUGCGUAGGCGGGUCUUUAAGUCAGGGGUGAAAUCCUGGAGCUCAACUCCAGAACUGCCUUUGAUACUGAAGAUCUUGAGUUCGGGAGAGGUGAGUGGAACUGCGAGUGUAGAGGUGAAAUUCGUAGAUAUUCGCAAGAGCACCAGUGGCGAAGGCGGCUCACUGGCCCGAUACUGACGCUGAUGCACGAAAGCGUGGGGAGCAAACAGGA
rnacentral:rRNA from 1 species